CGAGGAUCGCUGGGACAGGUACUUUUAUCGAAUGUUCCAGACUUUUAGUGCUAUCAUUGCUUGAAGCUCGGACAUUUGGUAAGAAUAUGUUCCUCCAAGAGCCCCUGA
rnacentral:ncRNA from 2 species